AACGAACGCUGGCGGCAUGCCUAACACAUGCAAGUCGAACGAGACCUUCGGGUCUAGUGGCGCACGGGUGCGUAACGCGUGGGAACCUGCCCUUAGGUUCGGAAUAACUACCCGAAAGGGGUGCUAAUACCGGAUAAUGUCUUCGGACCAAAGAUUUAUCGCCUUUGGAUGGGCCCGCGUUGGAUUAGCUCGUUGGUAGGGUAAAAGCUUACUAAGGCGACAAUCCAUAGCUGGUCUGAGAGAAUGAUCAGCCACACUGGGACUGAGACACGGCCGAGACUCCUACGGGAUGCAGCAGUGGGGGAUAGUGGACAAUGGGCUGAAGGCUGAUCCAGCAAUGCCGCGUGAGUGAUGAAGGCCUUAGGGUUGUAAAGCUCUUUUACCCGGGAUGAUAAUGACAGUACCGGGAGAAUAAGCUCCGGCUAACUCCGUG
rnacentral:rRNA from 1 species